GCAUUGUCUCGAAAGACGAUGCUCUCGA
rnacentral:rRNA from 1 species